rnacentral:lncRNA from 1 species
CCACCUCUGGCUUGAGUCAAUAUUGGACCACAAAUAUCAGUAUUUACAAGGUCCAAAAUAUCACUCAUCCUUUCUCCAUGUCCAAUAAAUGGAGUCUUGAUCAUUAUUUUCAUGAGGCAAGAUUUAUAAGUUCCAUAUGAUUUAUAAUCAUAAGGAUUAAAAAAAUUAUUUUUGUAUAACUUGUUAAUCCUUGACUCAUUUAUAUGGCUA